AUUUUCGUGCAGAUUUGAAAUAAAUGUAGCCAAUCGGAAAGCAGUUAAGGUCUAACCGCGAAACGAAUCAUUGCGCAUUGUAAUGCGCAUGGCGUAUUAGUCUACAGUCGAAAUUCAUAGCGACGAGUUGCGUUUUACCUGUGAAGUGUAUAAUUACAUAAAAUUUUCGUUAAUAAGAUGCCAUGAUAAUUAAGAAAUAAUCCGAAGAAUUCAUUCGAACGAGGAUAGAAGAUUGAAAACAUUUCUUAUCAUUCAACUUUUCCAAGAAUUGAUGAUUUGUUGUUGUGCCACGCUCGACAUGUUUCAACCUGUCGAAUUGUCGAGCAUUCCCCUCUCCUUUCUUAUUCUUAGUUUACGUUUCGAUAUAUCUACAUUCCGUUCUCGAAAUUCGUGACGAGUGGACGCUUCGCUUCAAUUCAGAAUCAGUGCAUUAAGAGAAUAAGGCUAUCACGCAAAGAGAUUUUUCUAUCUGAUGAUAUUCUUCUGGACUUCAGCAGCAGUUCUUCGCUUCGAAUGAUUUCUAUUAUAAUAAUAUUGAUAUCGAGAUGGUGGAAAAUGGAACUCUAAUGAAUAUUCCAAAAAUUAUAAAAUAUAUCGAUACAAAUUUUCAUGUAUUGUUGGUUUAAUAUCUUGUAGCCACGAUCAAUGACUGGAAUAUUAUUCGUGACUAUGCAUUCUCCGAAGGCUGUCUAUCCGAAUACAAACGACCAAGGUCAUGAAUCUACGAGAACGAUAUUUCUUCCAACAAAUCUAGAGCCUCGUAAAAAGUAUCGCAACACGCGCGUAUCUAUUACCAAUCGCCCUACUCUCCGACCAAAAUAAUCGAUAAGAGGUUCUCGAAACUGGUUGAUGCAUCGACCUUUUUUGCCGAAAGAGAAGGAAAAGAACCUUAUCGUUGGGGAAUAUCUCUUACGCUAUAUAUAAACUAUAUAUAUAAUACUCACCGUAAUAACGAAGAAAACAUUGGAAAAUCAAAAUUUCCAGUAAUACG
rnacentral:lncRNA from 11 species